rnacentral:rRNA from 1 species
UACGGAGGGUGCAAGCGUUAUCCGGAUUCACUGGGUUUAAAGGGUGCGUAGGUGGGCAGGUAAGUCAGUGGUGAAAGCCCAGGGCUCAACCUUGGAAUUGCCUUUGAUACUGGCUAUCUUGAGUUCGGGAGAGGUGAGUGGAAUGCCGAGUGUAGAGGUGAAAUUCGUAGAUAUUCGGAAGAACACCAGUGGCGAAGGCGGCUCACUGGUCCGGUACUGACGCUGAGGUGCGAAAGCGUGGGGAGCAAACAGG